CAUCUUCCUCUCACCUCAAGCGGCCGCUAUCCAAAAAGACCAAGGGGUCUUCGACGGCCGGCCAUCAACUGCCACGCUUCGACGGUAGCUCACUCAAGCUCCGACCGACGACCCAGCUUCUCCCCUGGUCGAAACCCAAAACCGAGUCUCUCUACCCUUCCUUCCUCGAUCUGGACCUCAAAGGAAACCUAAAAAAUGAUUUGGGAUUAAAAAUCCCAAAAUCGAUAGCCUUAACGGCCACCGCCUUCCCCGACACCCAACGAACCCCAAUGGUUUGGCUCCGACCGACAACCCGACUACAGCGGGGCCUAUAGGGCUAAGGAAGAAGAUGGUUACAAGUGCCUUCUUUCCAGAGAAAGAAUCGGCGGAGAGAAAAUCUCAGGGGAAUUACUAAUGCUCUCCUUUUCGAGAGGGAAAGAAAAGAAAAUUCAGAGGGGUCCCCUCCUGUUUUAUUCUUUUUCGGGUUUAUACAUCCACCCAAAUCCUAAAAAAAUUUACAAUUGGUUCCUAUGCAUGUGAUUUGCUUAUGAGGAUUGGUAAGGUAUGGUUGGUGGCAUGUGCGUGGAGCUGAGUUGAUGGAAACUGCUGGGAUUUGGUGACAGCAGGUCAUGAAGAAUGGAAACAUAUUAAUGGCCAAAUACUUUCAAGGUUCAAACAUUUAGUGGUAGUUUUUUUUACAGUCCAGACUCGCUGUAAAGAAUCAUCAAAUAAUUGGCAAAAGGAAUACGUAUACGGGAAGGGUGCAUGAACAAAACCGUGGCAGAAAAGAACACAGAGGGUGAUACUGAUGUACCACGCCGGUUUGGCAAAAUGUCCUUAAACUAUGGGGUACUACGAGGCAGGGUGCCGACUGGAUUGCUUAAUUCAAUUGGUUCAACAAGAAGGUUCUAAUUGCACUUCUUAAUAUAAUCAAGAACUGAGCAGGCAUAGACUUCAAGAAAGAUCGCAGGGGACAGAAUUAAUGUGAAGAUUGCGUAAAAUUGCAGAUUAGAAGAUGGCAUGUCUGUUUAGCAAGUUGGUUUAUUUUUGCUGACGCUGUGCUACGGGUGUAUUAAACUUGUAAAACUGCUAUAUGCAGUUCACUUUUUAGUAAGCUUCUAAAUACAAAACUGAUUUAUA